GCGCAGCAAGUGUGAGAAAACAGUAUAGAGACCUCAACACUUGGCAUGAGGGCAACCAUCAAUGGACAGGAAUGAAAAUGUUUGAAAAUGCAACAUGGUCUAUGAUUUAAGAGCACAGGGAGACUGGAGACACACGACACCUGCUCCGCCUCCUCAGAUGAUGGCUGGCUCUGCUGAUGGGUCUUGGACAGAGAGCGCGGUCUACUGAAAUGGGAUGUAAGGAUCUACACAUCAUAGAGCUAAUAAAACAUGACAG